AGAGUUUGAUCCUGGCUCAGGAUGAACGCUAGCUACAGGCUUAACACAUGCAAGUCGAGGGGCAGCAUGAAAGUUUGCUUGCAAACUUUUGAUGGCGACCGGCGCACGGGUGAGUAACACGUAUCCAACCUGCCUCAUACUCGGGGAUAGCCUUUCGAAAGAAAGAUUAAUACCCGAUGUCAUAGUCCUACCGCAUGAUGGGACUAUUAAAGAAUUUCGGUAUGGGAUGGGGAUGCGUUCCAUUAGUUAGUUGGCGGGGUAACGGCCCACCAAGACAACGAUGGAUAGGGGUUCUGAGAGGAAGGUCCCCCACAUUGGAACUGAGACACGGUCCAAACUCCUACGGGAGGCAGCAGUGAGGAAUAUUGGUCAAUGGACGAGAGUCUGAACCAGCCAAGUAGCGUGAAGGAUGACUGCCCUAUGGGUUGUAAACUUCUUUUAUAUGGGAAUAAAAUGUUCCACGUGUGGGAUUUUGUAUGUACCAUAUGAAUAAGGAUCGGCUAACUCCGUGCCAGCAGCCGCGGUAAUACGGAGGAUCCGAGCGUUAUCCGGAUUUAUUGGGUUUAAAGGGAGCGUAGGUGGAUUGUUAAGUCAGUUGUGAAAGUUUGCGGCUCAACCGUAAAAUUGCAGUUGAAACUGGCAGUCUUGAGUACAGUAGAGGUGGGCGGAAUUCGUGGUGUAGCGGUGAAAUGCUUAGAUAUCACGAAGAACUCCGAUUGCGAAGGCAGCUCACUGGACUGCAACUGACACUGAGGCUCGAAAGUGUGGGUAUCAAACAGGAUUAGAUACCCUGGUAGUCCAUGCCGUAAACGAUGAGUGCUAGGUGUUGGAGGGUUUCCGCCCUUCAGUGCCGGAGCUAACGCAUUAAGCACUCCGCCUGGGGAGUACGACCGCAAGGUUGAAACUCAAAGGAAUUGACGG
rnacentral:rRNA from 1 species